CCCUGUGGUGCUGGGAAAUCAAACUUGGGUCCUCUGGAUGGCAGCUAAACUCUUUAACUGCUAAGCCAUCUCUCCAGCCCCUCCUUACCUCAUUCUGUUUCACAGGGAAAGCACUAACUUAAAGCUUGGCUGGACCUCUGCGGUUCAGGAAGGACCCCAGGGGAGUCCAGAGAUCCUGGUGGACCCUUCAGUGGAGCAGAGGUCAGGAAAGUGGUUAGAGAGCAGCUAUCUCCUCCGUUCAUCCCCAGAUAAGACUAAAAACACUGUCAUGGUGGAAAUGGACAUAAGAGCCAGUGUCUUCUGUGAAGGGCAGGCCAAGGAGCAGAGAAAAGCCCCAGGAAAGUGCAGAGGGAGUGCUGGCUGUUAGAAACUGAGAUCUCCUCAACACCCAGAGAGGGAAGAGGGCUGAGGAGAGAGGACAGGGCUGUUGGCCUCAUUAACCAGGACAUUUCUUUCUUUUCUUUCUUUCUUUUUUCGAGACAGGGUUCCUCUGUAUAUCCUUGGCUGUCCUGGAACUCACUUUGUAGACCAGGCUGGCCUCAAACUCAAAAAUCUGCCUGCCUCUGCCUUCCAAGUGCUGGGAUUAAAGGUGUGUGCCACCACACCCAGCUUCUUCUUCUCCUCCUCCUCCUUUUUUUUUUUUUUAAGAUUUAUUUAUUUGUUAUAUGUAAUUACACUGUAGCUGUCUUCCAAUAGCCCCAGAAGAGGAAGUCAGAUAUCAAUAUGGAUGGUUGUGAGCCACCAUGUGGUUGCUGGGAUUUGAACUCAGGGCCUUUGGAAGGGCAGUCAGUGCUCUUACCCGCUGAGCCAUCUCUCCAGCCCUAACCAAGACAUUUCAACAUAUCUGUGGCACAUGCGUCAGGUCUUAUUUGCAAAAGGAUUCUCUCAUACUUAAAGACACAAGUUUGGAGAAUUACUGGGCUAAUCCAGUUCUUUAAAAC
rnacentral:lncRNA from 1 species